rnacentral:rRNA from 1 species
GAGGACCAUCUCCCAAGGCUAAAUACUCCCUAGUGACCGAUAGUGAACCAGUACCGUGAGGGAAAGGUGAAAAGCACCCCGGAAGGGGAGUGAAAGAGAUCCUGAAACCGUGUGCCUACAAGUAGUCAGAGCCCGUUAACGGGUGAUGGCGUGCCUUUUGUAGAAUGAACCGGCGAGUUACGAUCCCGUGCAAGGUUAAGCAGAAGAUGCGGAGCCGCAGCGAAAGCGAGUCUGAAUAGGGCGCAUGAGUACGUGGUCGUAGACCCGAAACCAGGUGAUCUACCCAUGUCCAGGGUGAAGUUCAGGUAACACUGAAUGGAGGCCCGAACCCACGCACGUUGAAAAGUGCGGGGAUGAGGUGUGGGUAGGGGUGAAAUGCCAAUCGAACCUGGAGAUAGCUGGUUCUCUCCGAAAUAGCUUUAGGGCUAGCCUCAAGGUAAGAGUCUUGGAGGUAGAGCACUGAUUGGACUAGGGGCCCCUACCGGGUUACCGAAUUCAGUCAAACUCCGAAUGCCAAUGACUUAUCCUUGGGAGUCAGACUGCGAGUGAUAAGAUCCGUAGUCGAAAGGGAAACAGCCCAGACCGCCAGCUAAGGUCCCAAAGUAUACGUUAAGUGGAAAAGGAUGUGGAGUUGCUUAGACAACCAGGAUGUUGGCUUAGAAGCAGCCACCAUUUAAAGAGUGCGUAAUAGCUCACUGGUCGAGUGACUCUGCGCCGAAAAUGUACCGGGGCUAAACGUAUCACCGAAGCUGCGGACUGUUCUUCGAACAGUGGUAGGAGAGCGUUCUAAGGGCUGUGAAGCCAGACCGGAAGGACUGGUGGAGCGCUUAGAAGUGAGAAUGCCGGUAUGAGUAGCGAAAGAGGGGUGAGAAUCCCCUCCACCGAAUGCCUAAGGUUUCCUGAGGAAGGCUCGUCCGCUCAGGGUUAGUCGGGACCUAAGCCGAGGCCGAAAGGCGUAGGCGAUGGACAACAGGUUGAUAUUCCUGUACCACCUCCUCACCAUUUGAGCAAUGGGGGGACGCAGGAGGAUAGGGUAAGCGCGGUAUUGGAUAUCCGCGUCCAAGCAGUUAGGCUGUCU